GAUGAACGCUGGCGGCGUGCCUAAUACAUGCAAGUCGAGCGAACAGACGAGGAGCUUGCUCCUCUGACGUUAGCGGCGGACGGGUGAGUAACACGUGGAUAACCUACCUAUAAGACUGGGAUAACUUCGGGAAACCGGAGCUAAUACCGGAUAAUAUAUUGAACCGCAUGGUUCAAUAGUGAAAGACGGUUUUGCUGUCACUUAUAGAUGGAUCUGCGCCGCAUUAGCUAGUUGGUAAGGUAACGGCUUACCAAGGCAACGAUGCGUAGCCGACCUGAGAGGGUGAUCGGCCACACUGGAACUGAGACACGGUCCAGACUCCUACGGGAGGCAGCAGUAGGGAAUCGUCCGCAAUGGGCGAAAGCCUGACGGAGCAACGCCGCGUGAGUGAUGAAGGUCUUCGGAUCGUAAAACUCUGUUAUUAGGGAAGAACAAAUGUGUAAGUAACUAUGCACGUCUUGACGGUACCUGAUCAGAAAGCCACGGCUAACUACGUG
rnacentral:rRNA from 1 species